rnacentral:rRNA from 1 species
AGAGUUUGAUCAUGGCUCAGAACAAACGCUGGCGGCGUGCUUAACACAUGCAAGUCGUACGAGAAAGUCCGCUUCGGCGGAUGAGUAAAGUGGCGCACGGGUGCGUAACACGUGGGUAAUCUGCCCUUCAGUGGGGAAUAACACGCCGAAAGGCGGGCUAAUACCGCAUAAUACCGUUUCCACCCCGGUGGGACGGUCAAAGACAGCCUCUGUUUACAAGCUGUCGCUGAAGGAUGAGCCCGCGGCCUAUCAGCUAGUUGGUGGGGUAAUGGCUCACCAAGGCUGUGACGGGUAGCUGGUCUGAGAGGAUGGCCAGCCACACUGGAACUGAGACACGGUCCAGACUCCUACGGGAGGCAGCAGUGGGGAAUCUUGGGCAAUGGGGGCAACCCUGACCCAGCGACGCCGCGUGAGUGAGGAAGGUCUUCGGAUCGUAAAGCUCUGUCGGAUGGGAAGAAAUGUGUGGAAGUGAACAGCUUCCAUGCUUGACGGUACCAUCAGAGGAAGCACCGGCUAACUCCGUGCCAGCAGCCGCGGUAAUACGGGGGGUGCAAGCGUUGUUCGGAAUCAUUGGGCGUAAAGGGCGUGUAGGCGGCUGGAUAAGUCAGAUGUGAAAUCCCUGGGCUUAACCCAGGAAGUGCAUUUGAAACUGUCCGGCUUGAGUGAGGGAGAGGAAAGUGGAAUCCCUGGUGUAGAGGUGAAAUUCGUAGAUAUCAGGAGGAACACCGGUGGCGAAGGCGACUUUCUGGCCCUAUACUGACGCUGAGACGCGAAAGCGUGGGGAGCAAACAGGAUUAGAUACCCUGGUAGUCCACGCUGUAAACGAUGUUCACUAGGUGUUGGGGGUAUUGACCCCCUCAGUGCCGUAGCUAACGCAUUAAGUGAACCGCCUGGGGAGUACGGUCGCAAGACUAAAACUCAAUGAAUUGACG